rnacentral:rRNA from 1 species
AUUGAACGCUGGCGGCAUGCCUUACACAUGCAAGUCGAACGGUAACAGGUCUUUCGGGAUGCUGACGAGUGGCGAACGGGUGAGUAAUACAUCGGAACGUGCCUAGUAGUGGGGGAUAACUACUCGAAAGAGUGGCAAAUACCGCAUGAGAUCUAUGGAUGAAAGCAGGGGACCUUUGGGCCUUGUGCUACUAGAGCGGCCGAUGUCAGAUUAGGUAGUUGGUGGGAUAAAGGCCUACCAAGCCUACGAUCUGUAGCUGGUCUGAGAGGACGAUCAGCCACACUGGAACUGAGACACGGCCCAGACUCCUACGGGAGGCAGCAGUGGGGAAUUUUGGACAAUGGGCGCAAGCCUGAUCCAGCAAUGCCGCGUGCAGGAUGAAGGCCUUCGGGUUGUAAACUGCUUUUGUACGGAACGAAAAGUCUUGGGUUAAUACCCUGGGAUCAUGACGGUACCGUAAGAAUAAGCACCGGCUAACUACGUG